rnacentral:rRNA from 1 species
AGCGUACACGGUGGAUGCCCUGGCAGUCAGAGGCGAUGAAGGACGUGCUAAUCUGCGAUAAGCGCCGGUAAGGUGAUAUGAACCGUUAUAACCGGCGAUUUCCGAAUGGGGAAACCCAGUGUGAUUCGUCACACUAUCAUUAACUGAAUCCAUAGGUUAAUGAGGCGAACCGGGGGAACUGAAACAUCUAAGUACCCCGAGGAAAAGAAAUCAACCGAGAUUCCCCCAGUAGCGGCGAGCGAACGGGGAGGAGCCCAGAGCCUGAAUCAGCAUGUGUGUUAGUGGAAGCGUCUGGAAAGGCGCGCGAUACAGGGUGACAGCCCCGUACACAAAAGCGCAUGUGCUGUGAGCUCGAUGAGUAGGGCGGGACACGUGGUAUCCUGUCUGAAUAUGGGGGGACCAUCCUCCAAGGCUAAAUACUCCUGACUGACCGAUAGUGAACCAGUACCGUGAGGGAAAGGCGAAAAGAACCCCGGCGAGGGGAGUGAAAAAGAACCUGAAACCGUGUACGUACAAGCAGUGGGAGCACAGGUUUACCUGUGUGACUGCGUACCUUUUGUAUAAUGGGUCAGCGACUUAUAUUCUGUAGCAAGGUUAACCGUAUAGGGGAGCCGUAGGGAAACCGAGUCUUAACCGGGCGUUAAGUUGCAGGGUAUAGACCCGAAACCCGGUGAUCUAGCCAUGGGCAGGUUGAAGGUUGGGUAACACUAACUGGAGGACCGAACCGACUAAUGUUGAAAAAUUAGCGGAUGACCUGUGGCUGGGGGUGAAAGGCCAAUCAAACCGGGAGAUAGCUGGUUCUCCCCGAAAGCUAUUUAGGUAGCGCCUCGUGAAUUCAUCUCCGGGGGUAGAGCACUGUUUCGGCUAGGGGGCCAUCCCGGCUUACCAACCCGAUGCAAACUGCGAAUACCGGAGAAUGUUAUCACGGGAGACACACGGCGGGUGCUAACGUCCGUCGUGAAGAGGGAAACAACCCAGACCGCCAGCUAAGGUCCCAAAGUCAUGGUUAAGUGGGAAACGAUGUGGGAAGGCCCAGACAGCCAGGAUGUUGGCUUAGAAGCAGCCAUCAUUUAAAGAAAGCGUAAUAGCUCACUGGUCGAGUCGGCCUGCGCGGAAGAUGUAACGGGGCUAAACCAUGCACCGAAGCUGCGGCAGCGACGCUGAUGCGUUGUUGGGUAGGGGAGCGUUCUGUAAGCCUGCGAAGGUGACCUGUGAGGGUUGCUGGAGGUAUCAGAAGUGCGAAUGCUGACAUAAGUAACGAUAAAGCGGGUGAAAAGCCCGCUCGCCGGAAGACCAAGGGUUCCUGUCCAACGUUAAUCGGGGCAGGGUGAGUCGACCCCUAAGGCGAGGCCGAAAGGCGUAGUCGAUGGGAAACGGGUUAAUAUUCCCGUACUUGGUGUUACUGCGAAGGGGGGACGGAGAAGGCUAUGUUGGCCGGGCGACGGUUGUCCCGGUUUAAGCGUGUAGGUGUGUGUUCCAGGUAAAUCCGGUUCACUUUAACACUGAGGCGUGAUGACGAGGCACUACGGUGCUGAAGCAACAAAUGCCCUGCUUCCAGGAAAAGCCUCUAAGCAUCAGGUAACAUCAAAUCGUACCCCAAACCGACACAGGUGGUCAGGUAGAGAAUACCAAGGCGCUUGAGAGAACUCGGGUGAAGGAACUAGGCAAAAUGGUGCCGUAACUUCGGGAGAAGGCACGCUGACACGUAGGUGAAGUGAUUUACUCACGGAGCUGAAGUCAGUCGAAGAUACCAGCUGGCUGCAACUGUUUAUUAAAAACACAGCACUGUGCAAACACGAAAGUGGACGUAUACGGUGUGACGCCUGCCCGGUGCCGGAAGGUUAAUUGAUGGGGUCAGCGCAAGCGAAGCUCCUGAUCGAAGCCCCGGUAAACGGCGGCCGUAACUAUAACGGUCCUAAGGUAGCGAAAUUCCUUGUCGGGUAAGUUCCGACCUGCACGAAUGGCGUAAUGAUGGCCAGGCUGUCUCCACCCGAGACUCAGUGAAAUUGAACUCGCUGUGAAGAUGCAGUGUACCCGCGGCAAGACGGAAAGACCCCGUGAACCUUUACUAUAGCUUGACACUGAACAUUGAGCCUUGAUGUGUAGGAUAGGUGGGAGGCUUUGAAGUGUGGACGCCAGUCUGCAUGGAGCCGACCUUGAAAUACCACCCUUUAAUGUUUGAUGUUCUAACGUGGACCCGUAAUCCGGGUUGCGGACAGUGUCUGGUGGGUAGUUUGACUGGGGCGGUCUCCUCCUAAAGAGUAACGGAGGAGCACGAAGGUUGGCUAAUCCUGGUCGGACAUCAGGAGGUUAGUGCAAUGGCAUAAGCCAGCUUGACUGCGAGCGUGACGGCGCGAGCAGGUGCGAAAGCAGGUCAUAGUGAUCCGGUGGUUCUGAAUGGAAGGGCCAUCGCUCAACGGAUAAAAGGUACUCCGGGGAUAACAGGCUGAUACCGCCCAAGAGUUCAUAUCGACGGCGGUGUUUGGCACCUCGAUGUCGGCUCAUCACAUCCUGGGGCUGAAGUAGGUCCCAAGGGUAUGGCUGUUCGCCAUUUAAAGUGGUACGCGAGCUGGGUUUAGAACGUCGUGAGACAGUUCGGUCCCUAUCUGCCGUGGGCGCUGGAGAACUGAGGGGGGCUGCUCCUAGUACGAGAGGACCGGAGUGGACGCAUCACUGGUGUUCGGGUUGUCAUGCCAAUGGCACUGCCCGGUAGCUAAAUGCGGAAGAGAUAAGUGCUGAAAGCAUCUAAGCACGAAACUUGCCCCGAGAUGAGUUCU